GGAUUGUUGGUCUAGGGGUAUGCUUCUUGCUUAGGGUGCCAGAAGUCCCAGGUUUAAAUCCUGGAUGAGCCC
rnacentral:tRNA from 1 species